GCAGAUUGUCUCAAGGUUGAAGCUGGAGUCCAACUCUGAGCUCCAGGGGAGCGACCAGCUCGUGGUCGUGGUGUCUAAUUGCUGCAGGGAAAGUUUUAAGGAUCACUACUUCUGGAUGCUUAAUUGAUGUUUUUUGUGUGGCAACCAAACGAGAGAGGAUCCAAUAUCUAUUACCUACAUAGGAGACCAGAUGGAUCAGAUUUCACCAUCUUCAUAAGCUGCAUUGCAUUCUAUUGUGGGAGAACAAGAAGGAACUGAAGACAAAAUUGGAAGACAACAGGUCUAUCCUCUGAAUUUUGUUUGUUUGUACCAGAUCUUAAUAAUUUGAGAUGUGUAAAUGUUAUGUCUUAGUUUAAACGCCAGUUGCAUGUUGAUAUAUAGCAGCGUUGUUUAUUUUAUACAUUUGAUUUCUCUUGCCAUUUCAAAUUUUCUGUACUGAGUCCACCAUCUUCCCAGAGUCAGUGAAAACCUACAGAGCUUUGAUAAUGUUUUGUGCCAAUAUUAUUUUAGAAUUAUACUUCCUUUCAUGUUUGAUGUUUGAUGCUUAUUAGCAUCUACUGCUCAUGAUUUGGACCUAAUCGCUCUGUUGUUUACCAUCUCCUUCAUAUAUACGCGCAUCAUUGUCCUCGCCUGUUUGUCCUUCCACCUUAGUCCAGCCACUACUAUGCUCUGCUUGUAGGCUACCAUGGAGAAAUUGCACCGGUCAGUUGAUCAUCAAGUUUGGUUCGCUGUUUCAUCUGCUCAGUGUGUUGUCUCUCAAGUCCAGGUACGAUUUUCAGCAACUUUCUUGGCACUUUAGUUGGUUCUACUUGCAUUUCGUUUGUAUGUUUCUGUUGUAUGAAGUUUUGAGCAAGAUUGUGGUGUGUGAUGGUAUGAAGAUUAAUGUGAAAUCAGAUAUGUUGUGUUGUGCACCAUAAACUCAAGUGAACUUAAUUGUGCUCCUUGCUGACAUUUGAUAUGCACUAAUCUAGACAGGAACAACAAACACCAUGCCAAUUUUAGAACUGGUCCAGCAAAUAGGC